AGUGAACGCUGGCGGUAGGCCUAACACAUGCAAGUCGAACGGCAGCACAGUAAGAGCUUGCUCUUACGGGUGGCGAGUGGCGGACGGGUGAGGAAUACACCGGAAUCUACUUUUUCGUGGGGGAUAACGUAGGGAAACUUACGCUAAUACCGCAUACGACCUACGGGUGAAAGCAGGGGAUCUUCGGACCUUGCGCGAUUGAAUGAGCCGAUGUCGGAUUAGCUAGUUGGCGGGGUAAAGGCCCACCAAGGCGACGAUCCGUAGCUGGUCUGAGAGGAUGAUCAGCCACACUGGAACUGAGACACGGUCCAGACUCCUACGGGAGGCAGCAGUGGGGAAUAUUGGACAAUGGGCGCAAGCCUGAUCCAGCCAUACCGCGUGGGUGAAGAAGGCCUUCGGGUUGUAAAGCCCUUUUGUUGGGAAAGAAAAGCAGCAGGUUAAUACCCCGCUGUUCUGGCGGUACCCAAAGAAUAAGCACCGGCUAACUUCGUG
rnacentral:rRNA from 1 species